UGGGUUGUUGAUGUAAUCGUGUUUGAAACACAUUUAUUUUUUUGUGUCUCUGUUUUUCUGAUUUUUACAGAGUUGGGAUUGAUCUUCCCACCAUUGAAGUCCGGUUCGAGCAUUUGAAUGUCGAUGCAGAAGCUUAUGUUGGUGGUAGAGCAUUUUCAACAAUUCUCAACUUUUCCAUUAAACUUUUUGAGGGGUUCUUGAACUACCUCCAUGUGGUUCCAAGUAGGAAGAAACCAUUAUCAAUCCUUCAUGAUGUUAGUGGAAUCAUCAAGCCUGGAAGGUCUUGCAAGCUUGCGUCCAUUUGAAGGCUUGGGAGCUCUCUGUGAGAUUUUGAAUGCCAUUUCAAUGAAGCCCUUGAGAAGAAGAUGCAAUGAGUUGUUCUGUUCUGUAGGUAGAUAUGACGGCAAUUUACAAUCUGUUCAUUGAAUAGUUGAAUGCUAUAAACAAUACUUGUAGCACCAGCCUUAUAAAUUAGAAAUGAUACUUUUGAAAU